rnacentral:tRNA from 1 species
AGAAAGUUAGUCUAACCAAGACAGCUGAUUUCGGCUCAGCAGAUCAUAGUCUCCUACCUGUGACUUUCU